rfam:Gossypium arboreum cultivar AKA8401 contig_65517_1, whole genome shotgun sequence.
CUUGGGAGAGCGUUUUGUCCACGUCAGUAAAGCGUGCCCUCAAGAAUGCGUUUUUUGCUGACGUGGACAAAACGCUCCCUCAAGG